rnacentral:rRNA from 1 species
AGAGUUUGAUCCUGGCUCAGAAUCAACGCUGGCGGCGCGCUUAACACAUGCAAGUCGCACGAGAAAGUGGAGCAAUCCAUGAGUACAGUGGCGUACGGGUGAGUAACACGUGGAUCAUCUACCUCUUAGUGGGGAAUAACCCUGGGAAACCGGGGCUAAUACCGCAUAAGCUCGAGAGAGGAAAGCAGCAAUGCGCUGAGAGAGGAGUCCGCGGCCGAUUAGCUAGUUGGCAGGGUAAACGCCUACCAAGGCAAAGAUCGGUAGCCGGCCUGAGAGGGCACACGGCCACACUGGCACUGAAACACGGGCCAGACUCCUACGGGAGGCAGCAGUGGGGAAUCUUGCACAAUGGGGGAAACCCUGAUGCAGCGACGCCGCGUGAGCGAUGAAGCCCUUCGGGGUGUAAAGCUCUUUCGGCAGGGACGAUCAUGACGGUACCUGCAGAAGCAGCUGCGGCUAACUACGUGCCAGCAGCCGCGGUAAUACGUAGGCAGCGAGCGUUGUUCGGAGUUACUGGGCGUAAAGGGUGUGUAGGCGGUUGCUUAAGUUUGGUGUGAAAUCUCCCGGCUCAACUGGGAGGGUGCGCCGAAUACUGAGUGACUCGAGUGCGGGAGAGGAGAGUGGAAUUCCUGGUGUAGCGGUGAAAUGCGUAGAUAUCAGGAGGAACACCGGCGGUGUAGACGGCUCUCUGGACCGUAACUGACGCUGAGACACGAAAGCGUGGGUAGCAAACAGGAUUAGAUACCCUGGUAGUCCACGCCCUAAACGAUGCAUAUUUGGUGUGGGUCAUUCAGUUGAUCCGUGCCGGAGCUAACGCGUUAAAUAUGCCGCCUGGGGAGUACAGUCGCAAGGCUGAAACUCAAGGAAUUGACGGGGGCCCGCACAAGCGGUGGAGCAUGUGGUUCAAUUCGACGCAACGCGAAGAACCUUACCUGGGCUCGAACGGCUGGUUAC